rnacentral:snRNA from 1 species
UCACAACUGUCUCCUAUUC